rnacentral:rRNA from 1 species
GAUGAACGCUGGCGGCGUGCUUAACACAUGCAAGUCGAACGGUGAACACGGAGCUUGCUCUGUGGGAUCAGUGGCGAACGAGUGAGUAACACGUGAGCAACCUGCCCCUGACUCUGGGAUAAGCGCUGGAAACGGCGUCUAAUACUGGAUAUGUGACGUGACCGCAUGGUCUGCGUUUGGAAAGAUUUUUCGGUUGGGGAUGGGCUCGCGGCCUAUCAGCUUGUUGGUGAGGUAAUGGCUCACCAAGGCGUCGACGGGUAGCCGGCCUGAGAGGGUGACCGGCCACACUGGGAUUGAGACACGGCCCAGACUCCUACGGGAGGCAGCAGUGGGGAAUAUUGCACAAUGGGCGAAAGCCUGAUGCAGCAACGCCGCGUGAGGGAUGACGGCCUUCGGGUUGUAAACCUUUUUUAGCAGGGAAGAAGCGAAAGUGACGGUACCUGCAGAAAAAGCGCCGGCUAACUACGUG